rnacentral:rRNA from 1 species
UGGGGGAUAUUGCACAAUGGGCGAAAGCCUGAUGCAGCGACGCCGCGUGGGGGAUGAAGGCCUUCGGGUUGUAAACUUCUUUUGCUCUGAACAAGGCAUGCCUUUGGGGUGUGUUGAGUGUAGGGGUUGAUUAGCGCCGGCUAACUACGUGCCAGCAGCCGCGGUAAUACGUAGGGCGCGAGCGUUGUCCGGAAUUAUUGGGCGUAAAGGGCUUGUAGGUGGCUGGUUGCGUCUGUCGUGAAUGCUCAUGGCUUAACUGUGGGUUUGCGGUGGGUACGGGCUGGCUUGAGUGCAGUAGGGGAGGCUGGAAUUCCUGGGGUAGCGGUGGAAUGCGCAGAUAUCAGGAGGGAUACCGGUGGCGAAGGCGGGUCUCUGGGCUGUUACUGACGCUGAGGAGCGAAAGCGUGGGGAGCGAACAGG